UGCAAGUCGAACGGUAACAGGUUAAGCUGACGAGUGGCGAACGGGUGAGUAAUGUAUCGGAACGUGCCCAGUCGUGGGGGAUAACUGCUCGAAAGAGCAGCUAAUACCGCAUACGACCUGAGGGUGAAAGCGGGGGAUCGCAAGACCUCGCGCGAUUGGAGCGGCCGAUAUCAGAUUAGGUAGUUGGUGAGGUAAAGGCUCACCAAGCCGACGAUCUGUAGCUGGUCUGAGAGGACGACCAGCCACACUGGGACUGAGACACGGCCCAGACUCCUACGGGAGGCAGCAGUGGGGAAUUUUGGACAAUGGGCGCAAGCCUAAUCCAGCCAUGCCGCGUGCGGGAAGAAGGCCUUCGGGUUGUAAACCGCUUUUGUCAGGGAAGAAAAGGUUCUGGCUAAUACCUGGGACUCAUGACGGUACCUGAAGAAUAAGCACCGGCUAACUACGUGCCAGCAGCCGCGGUAAUACGUAGGGUGCAAGCGUUAAUCGGAAUUACUGGGCGUAAAGCGUGCGCAGGCGGUUAUGCAAGACAGAGGUGAAAUCCCCGGGCUCAACCUGGGAACUGCCUUUGUGACUGCAUGGCUAGAGUACGGUAGAGGGGGAUGGAAUUCCGCGUGUAGCAGUGAAAUGCGUAGAUAUGCGGAGGAACACCGAUGG
rnacentral:rRNA from 1 species